UGGGGAAUAUUGCACAAUGGGGGAAACCCUGAUGCAGCGACGCCGCGUGAGCGAAGAAGGCCUUCGGGUCGUAAAGCUCUUUUAUAUGGGAAGAUAAUGACGGUACCAUAAGAAAAAGCCCCGGCUAACUACGUGCCAGCAGCCGCGGUAAUACGUAGGGGGCUAGCGUUGUCCGGAAUCACUGGGCGUAAAGGGUACGUAGGCGGAUAAGCAAGUUAGAAGUGAAAUCCUAUAGCUCAACUAUAGUAAGCUUUUAAAACUGCUCAUCUUGAGGUAUGGAAGGGAAAGUGGAAUUCCUAGUGUAGCGGUGAAAUGCGCAGAUAUUAGGAGGAAUACCGGUGGCGAAGGCGACUUUCUGGCCAUAUACUGACGCUGAGGUACGAAAGCGUGGGGAGCAAACAGG
rnacentral:rRNA from 1 species